UCGGCGUAGGUUGACACCAGGCAACAGUGAGAAAGCAGAAAAAAAACAGAAAGGGCCGAACGGACUGGUUCCUAGAACAGACUGGCGCAGAGCACGGAGAGGGGGACCGCGCACUGAUACCUGGGUACUGUAGUCAAAGCAGUGCCGAGAACAAGAACAAGAGCAGGUGCAGCGGCCAAGUUUACACUGAUCCUGAAGAGCUGACUGGAUGUGGGAGGGAAAGCCUAAAUUAGCCCAGGAGCAGCGGAGAGGCUGAACAGGACCGUCUCAGCCUAUGAAGUGAGAGGACAUGUCCUCCAAGAAACACAGAGGCCUCAGAGCCAGUGCAGUGUGACUAACUGUGGGGAACACAUAAUCAGUCCUGCUGAUUGAUGACGCCUGUGCUGACGGCGUAUGUAUGUACCACAAGCGCAACCUCUGCCGGUGCGAACAUUUGAGGCACCAAUUCCCAAGAAUACCUAACCUGUGCCAGCUGUUGGAGACAAGCUACCUGUGCCAACGGCGGCAGGCGCUGCCCACUGCAUCAUCUGUUCCAGCGUUUCCAUCUGUGGCAUUUGUACCAGUCCUCCUCUCUCUGCAUCUGGACGCUCCAAAGAAAGCUUUCCAAUAGCGCCGGCUGCCAACUGGGCCAGAUGUUCGAGCUGUAAGCCCCGGGCUAAAUCAAUGUAGCUCUUCACUCAUUAUUCCGGCCCUGAUGAAUUGCAAGUGCCCGUUUUUUUUUUUUACUCUCCUCCAGCUCCCUCCUCGACAAACCAUCCAUCAGUGAGAGACUUGAGGAGCUGCGGUGCUGGGGAUGUCUAAGGAGGGCCUUGCAGAUGUGUCUUUUAAGGCUUUUUGGCAGAUGACAGGGGAGCCUCUUGAAAGCUGUGUUUCUUGCUACACUUAUUGCUGUGAAUUCCAACAAAAGACAAGGCAGCGAGGAGGCCUAUUUAUGCUUAUGAACAAAACUUUUAUUAUAAGUGGAAUGUCUUGCCUGAAAAUCCCUUCAGUGAGUGUAUACUCAAUGUACAUGAGGCUGGUUUGGCUGAAAAAAUGCAGUGACAUAAUUAAACCUGCCACAUAACAUUUGACAAAACUGUUUCAUAAACAUGUCUUGGCUGAUGUGAUCUUAUAUUACUUAACAAAAUCUGUCAUGACAGCAAAUGACAUCUGUCAUGACAUUUUUGGCAUGCUUAUAUUAUAUAUAACAGUAUGUAAUUCUAAUACAGUGUUUAUAUAAUGCAGGUGUAUGUAUGUAUGUAUGUAUAUAUAUAUAUAUAUAUAUAUAUAUAUAAAGCAUCAGUGCUCAAGCAGUUUGAAUCCAAUUAAGAGACUGUAUGUCAGAUAUUCUUGCCACUUUGGACAGAUUCACAUUUUCUGGCCACUAACCUGAGGCACAGUGCUGUAGUACAUUAGCUGGGAAAACAUAGUCAGAAUAACAGAGGGCCACGAUUUAAGGUUGUUUUGCUAUGCUUUCCCCCAGGGAUGUAUUUACUGUGGCCUGACAACACUGGCCUUGUUGAUCCAGAUGGUGAUAGAAUCGGGCAGUCUGCACAUCCUCUCACAACCUGCUCCCACACAGCAGUGAAUAUCCACUGCCCAGCCCAACUCAUAUCUACUGUCCAGUCAAACCCAUGUCAUCUUUCUAACAUAGCCAGUGUUUCCAUUCUAUGCAUCCAGUAUCCACUUCCCAAAUACAAUCAAUGGCUAAAGUGCCUAUGCAGGGAACAGUUGUGACAGAUACACAGCAUCUAACUGAAAUGAAUCACUGAACUCGGCCCGCAUUUAAAUAAAUAAAAAUAUUAGGCUUAAUGAUGCAGCACAAUCCAGUUGCCAGAACUGAAUCUGUUCUUUUUAACAUCUCAUGAAUUAAGACGCCUGUAUGCCUCUACAGUCUCUUUGGCCUGAAUACAGUCAGUGCCAUGGCAACCUGUACAACUAAGAGGAAUCAUUCCUUAUGUACAGCCUACAGACUGCAUCUUAAGGUAUUGGCAUUUUCUCCUCAAUAUCAUGGAAACGAUGCUCUUGGUCAAAUUACAUGCUUUGUUGAUUUUGUAAAUUAAAAUAAGUACACAUUCUGUAUAUAUUUAUUUGCUGAAAUUAACACAUUCGCAAAAAAUGAAACAUAAAAUGUGGCUUGUGCAAAAGUUACUGUGAAAAAGAAGUGAAGAAUUGUUCACUUCUUUUGAAUUAGAAAAUCAACAAAACAUGUCAUUUGGCCAGUAUUUCUACAUUUGACCUUUCAGUUCGAUGCUUCUCAGUUAGAUUUUUCUUCCUUUACCACUUAUUUAAAUUAUUUAACCUCUUAUAAUCUAAGAAACUGUGUAUCCACACUUUCAUUCCUCUCUAUUAUACCUCUAUAUGGCUGUUGUCAGAAGAAAAUCUCAUAUCUCAUAUAUUUCUUUACACAUAUCAUAAGAAAUAAGAUAUUUCUAACACCUCCUAUCCAUAACAUCAAACACUCAAUAUAUGUGAUGCAAAUAGCAUAAAAGUUCUACACUGUGUUAGUAUGUGUUUGAACCAGCUGGGGAGAGAGGCUUACCUGUGAUCCACUUUGCUUUUUGCAUAUUUUUCGAUAUGUUUUAAUUAAUCAAAUAAACAGUAAUUUUGCAUUA